rnacentral:tRNA from 4 species
UGGGCUGUAGCCAAGCGGUAAGGCAACGGAUUUUGGCUCCGUCAUGCAAAGGUUCGAAUCCUUUCAGCCCAG